rnacentral:lncRNA from 1 species
CUCAGUUCUAUGAAAUAGGAGAGAGAAGUCUGCUGAAGGUGCUCCCCUCUUAGAAGAGACACAAGGAAACAACAAUCCUUUCUUUUCCUCUGGGUCUUGGUGUGUGAGGAUGCCACGACUGGAGGGAGCCAGGCGAUAUACGGACAACGGCAGCAAAGAGUGACGGCAGCCCCCAGCUCUUGACAGUACCUAGCACUGGCGAUGGCAUGUUGGUGAGACUACACCUCUGUACAGCCUUACCGAGGAUCAAGUGAGUAACAGUUAUCGGGAUUCCACCAGGACAUUCACUGGAACAGGAAAACCCUGGACACUAGGAAAGAUCCCUUGAGACGGCACUGCUCAGCAGACGCUGUCGAUGGGUUCCCUGGUGUCAUUCAUGACCCCACCCCCUUGCCUCCCUCUCCUGGGACGGUGGGAAAGCAGAAAUGCUCUCCUCCUCAGAUCCCCUGCCACUGGGCCGGCCCUGUUGCUAUGCAGGUAUUCUCCCCAAGGACAGUAACGGAAGUCUCUGGGAAAGCCAUUUAGAAGGGACUCACCUGAGCACACUGUAGCACCGCCCUGCCUUCUCCAGCAGCUGAUGCGGGAGGAGGCUGGCCUUCGCUCCCAUCGAGACUUCCCACACUAAUUGAGACUGCAACCACAUCAGAGCCUCUGGGAAAGAGCAGAAGGCACCCGAAUCCUCGGCUGCUGCAGAGCCCACCCACCCGCCUUCGAUGAGUCAGCCACAGAGGCCACCAUCGAACUGACACCAUCCAGGCAGAGAACAGUGGUGUGAAGAUGGAACAGUUGAAGGAACUAGAACUUAUUCGAAAGAGCCAGUGACCAGAGCACCACAGGAACCAGCACCUCCAGGGAAGCAUGGCCAUCACCAUGCUCAUCCUGGAAAUGAAGCAAGCGCUCCAUUAGAGGGGCACUAGCCUGCUGCCCACAGCUUUCCAGAAGAUUCCGAGGUUCAGAACCUGACAUCUACACAAGAGAGUUGAUCGUUUUAGAAAAUUAGUGCAGUAUUGCAGAAUGGGGUUCCUAGCUGAGGAGACGCAUUUUUCAGCAAUGCACCUAUCCUGGAGAGGCUGGAGGGUAACUGACCUUUCCAAAUUCUUGGGUGAGAGGGACAUUUCCGGACUCUGUUGCACAAAGAGGCUCACCAAAAGUCUCUCUGCAUUGGAGAGAGAGAAGCUUCCUGCACCUGCAGCCUUUGCCCCAGUCGCCACCCUUCCCCCUUCCUCUGCCUUGAAACAAGGACACCGUAACUCAAGGUCCAGCAGCCAGAAUACAGUCCUGAGGACAAAAGCCCAGUGCUGAGUAUGACAGAGCAGGAGGUAGGAGCAGUUUGGAACUUGGUGACGUCCUGCACAACCACCUCCAGAACCUUUCAUUGCGUGAGAAAAAUAGACUUCUCUCUGUUUAAGACGUGUUGGUCUGGUUUUCUGUUGCUUUCAGCCAAACGUGAUCCUAACGCCGCUAGAUGUUUUCUAUUUGCCUCUCCAGGUCCACAUUCUGUCCUUCUCUACUGCUCAGGGCACCCGAGGAUGGCUUGUCUGGACUGCAUCAACAGGUUCACCUGCCCUCUGGCUUCUGGUUGGGCUUGGCCCAGAAAUACUCCUGCUGCGAGUUACUCUGUUAUAUGCUUGCGAAAGUACACCAAGAUCAUUUACAAGGACGGUCCCUGCAGUAUUGUUUGUAAUGGCAAAAUUAUGGAAACUGCUCAUAUAUUCCUCAGUUGGAAGACUAGUUAAAUAAAAUAUAGUGUAGCAUACCUUGGGACACUUUGUAAAAAUGAAAAAGGGAUGGCUCUGGAGGUGCUGACUUGGAAAGUUCUCCCAGAUAUAUUUUAAAUGAAAAAAGCUAUGGUAUGAUCCAAUUUAUAAGACAGCUGGAUUCUCAUAUCUGCAUUCAGUCUACUGCAAUAUGAUGUUUUGGGUGGAAUUAUCGGAAGAAAAUCUGGCCUCACACGGACACGUAGUUGGAAGAGGGAGGGUCCCACAGACCCUCUGAAAUGGUCCCCAGGAUCCCAGGGCUCCUCUGACCACACACUGAGGACCGCUGUGCCGGAGCAGGGCACAUCUUAACAAAGAGCCCCCUGGUACAUAGUUGUAUAUUCUCAGUUGUGGAUCCUUCUAGUUGUGGCAUGUGGGACGCCGCCUCAGCGUGGUUUGAUGAGCAGUGCCGUGUCCACGUCCAGGAUUCGAACCAACGAAACACUGGGCCGCCUGCAGCGGAGCGCGUGAACUUAACCACUCGGCCAUGGGGCCAGCCCCAUUUAUACAUAAUUUUAUGUUUUGCUUUUUCUUCAUUGACUACGGUAUUGGACCAUCUUAUUAAAACCUUCCUGAACAUUCUAUCAUACAAAAGUACACGUUUUAUCUAAACUUUCCCCCUUUGAUGUAUCUGGACUCUACCUGAAUAUAACUCUGCAGAGCUUGUCUACUUCACUCUCCGAACAAGCAUCAACACCUAACCCAGCUGGACACCA